rnacentral:rRNA from 1 species
CAGCAGCCGCGGUAAUACGUAGGUGGCAAGCGUUGUCCGGAAUUAUUGGGCGUAAAGGGCUCGCAGGCGGUUUCUUAAGUCUGAUGUGAAAGCCCCCGGCUCAACCGGGGAGGGUCAUUGGAAACUGGGAAACUUGAGUGCAGAAGAGGAGAGUGGAGUUCCACGUGUAGCGGUGAAAUGCGUAGAGAUGUGGAGGAACACCAGUGGCGAAGGCGACUCUCUGGUCUGUAACUGACGCUGAGGAGCGAAAGCGUGGGGAGCGAACAGGAUUAGAUACCCCCGUAGUCCCUGUCUCUUAUAC